UAGUUGUAGUGGUGUCGUUCGACCUACGGAUUGACGAUGGAUCACAGUGAGUGGCGGACGGGUGAGUAACACGUAGGUAACCUGCCCCGGAGCGGGGGAUAACAUUUGGAAACAGAUGCUAAUACCGCAUAACAACAAAAUCCACAUGGCUUUUGUUUGAAAGAUGGCUUUGGCUAUCACUCUGGGAUGGACCUGCGGUGCAUUAGCUAGUUGGUAAGGUAACGGCUUACCAAGGCGAUGAUGCAUAGCCGAGUUGAGAGACUGAUCGGCCACAAUGGAACUGAGACACGGUCCAUACUCCUACGGGAGGCAGCAGUAGGGAAUCUUCCACAAUGGGCGCAAGCCUGAUGGAGCAACACCGCGUGAGUGAAGAAGGGUUUCGGCUCGUAAAGCUCUGUUGUUGGAGAAGAACGUGCGUGAGAGUAACUGUUCAUGCAGUGACGGUAUCCAACCAGAAAGUCACGGCUAACUACGUGCC
rnacentral:rRNA from 1 species